UACGUAGGGGGCAAGCGUUGUCCGGAAUCAUUGGGCGUAAAGCGCGCGUAGGUGGCCCGGUAAGUCCGCUGUAAAAGUCCAGGGCUCAACCCUGGAAAGCCGGUGGAUACUGUCGGGCUCGAGUCCGGAAGAGGCGAGUGGAAUUCCUGGUGUAGCGGUGGAAUGCGCAGAUAUCAGGAGGAACACCGAUGGCGAAGGCAGCUCGCUGGGACGGUACUGACACUGAGGUGCGAAAGCGUGGGGAGCGAACAGG
rnacentral:rRNA from 1 species